rnacentral:rRNA from 1 species
UACGUAGGGGGCAAGCGUUGUCCGGAAUUAUUGGGCGUAAAGCGCGUGUAGGCGGCCAGAAAAGUCCGCUGUGAAAACUCGAGGCUCAACUUCGAGCUGUCGGUGGAAACUUUCUGGCUAGAGUCCGGAAGAGGAGAAUGGAAUUCCUGGUGUAGCGGUGAAAUGCGCAGAUAUCAGGAAGAACACCCGUGGCGAAGGCGGUUCUCUGGGACGGUACUGACGCUGAGACGCGAAAGCGUGGGGAGCGAACGGG